CUCCUUCCGCUCCCUGUCAGCGAGGGCGCCGAAGCCGCGCGGACUCCCGCGACAGAGUGAAGGGGGCCUUGGACCGGCCACGUUUCCCAAUGCAGGCGUCCCCAGAGCCGGUGGCCGUGGCGGAAAGGGCCGCGGCGUGUAGCCCGAAUCCCUUCAGCCCCACGAGGGGGGAGGCCGGAGGAGAGCCCGCCUUGGAGGAGGCCCUGGAGCACUACCACCAGAGUUUGCGCGAUCGUGCUGGCAAGAGCCUCAAUCAACUGAAGCAUGCCUUGGAAGAAAGAGAUAUGGCAAUGGGAGAAAGCACAUUUGACCAGCUAUUUGAUAAUACAGGAUAUGAAGAGAGUGAGGAUAGAGCAUGGCAGGAGCUUCAGUACAGUCAUGCAGUUAAUCAGCUUAAAGCUUUAUUACGACAACAACAAGAAAAGGAAAGUGAAAUGUCCCCUUCAGGGAGGAGAAGAAUGUCGCCCACAAGAACAGCUCAAGCAGCAGAUCAACAUUUGCCUGCUCUUGGCGACCUUGUACCCAUCAUUAAUGAUCAGUCUCAAUAUAUUAACCACUUGGAGGCAGAAGUCAAAUUUUGCAAGGAGGAAAUGUCUGACCUCAAAUCUCGUAUUUGUGUGGUUGUGUUUGAAAAUGAGAAGCUUCAUGAUAAUCUGAAAAUGCUAACGAUGGAGCGCACGCUCAGAGAGCAAACCUUCCUGGAUACCACAGCAGCUUCUCAAAAUGCUCGUGACAUAAGUAGUGCUCAUGUUGGUGAAACUGGUAUAUCAUCUCAUAAAAACGAGCAAGCUGCAGUAGAUGUAUUCGAAAUGAAUAAAUGGCAACUUGAGCUGGACAAGCUAAAACGUCUGCAUCAAGAAAGAACGGAAGCACUUGAAGCUCAGGUUUUGUCUUUAAGAAAGCAGUUAGCAGAAUCACAGAAGAAUUGUGAAGAACUAACUGGAAGAUUAAGGCAUCAAGAUAUGCUUGUUGCAGCAAGUAGUUCCAAUCGGGUUGGUGGCCUUUGCUUAAAAUGUGCACAGCAUGAAGCUGUUCUUUCCCAGACUCAUUCAAAUGUCCACAUGCAAACCAUUGAACGACUAACAAAAGAGAAAGAUGAAUUAAUAGCAGCCCUUUCUUCACUCAGAAUAAAUCUAGGUGAAAUGCAGCGAAGAGAAUGUAGUGCUUAUGAACAAGUCAAACAAGCUAUACACAUGACUGAAGAAGCCAAUUUGGAAAGAACUAAGGCUCUUGUUCAGUGUGAACAACUUAAAAAUGAGAUGGAGAGACAAAGAAAUCGUCUUGAAAGGGAGUUAGCAAUCCAACUAGAUAAGAGGGCUCAAGAGCGAGAAACCGUUCGUGAAGAAAUGAAGAAAGAAAAAGAAAAUUUGUCGUCCAUGGUGUUGUCUUUAUCUCAGAAUGUGGCUGGUCUGGAAGUUCAGAUUGACAAGGUUACCAGGGAGAAGAUAUCCUUAGCAAGUCAACUGGAGGAUGCUCAGAAUCAAAAUGCUUCUCAUGAUAUUGAGAUUAAUAAGGUGUGUGGUGAAAUACGUUACCAAUUGAAUCAGACCAAAAUGAAGAAGGAAGAGGUAGAAAAAGAACACAGAGAAUUUAGAACCAAAACUAUGAGAGAACUUGAAAUUAAAGACCAGGAAAUAGUGAAAUUAAAAGCAGAGCUGAAUCAAAAUAAACAACGCCUGGAACAAACACAGCAGGAUAUUACAGGUGCAAAGGAUGAAUGUCUGAAAUUAACAGAAUUGCUGGGAAAAGCUGAGCACCAACUGCACCUUACCAGGUUAGAAAAAGAGAAUAUUCAGCACAGCUUUAACAAGGAAGCAAAGACCCGAGCCCUUCAGGCCCAGCAGAGAGAGCAGGAGCUGACACAGAAGAUGCAGCAAAUGGAGGCACAGCAUGAUAAAACUGUAAAUGAACUAGAUGUGUUGCUAAGGUCCCAGAAUGCACUUCUAUCAAAAUUAAAAGAUGAAUGUUGUACUUUGGCGAAGAAGCUUGAAAGUGUCACUGAAAAAAACAGAUCUGAAGUUGGCCAGCUUAGUCAGGAAAAUGAGUAUGUUCAUGGCAGGCUUGAAAAGAUGCAGAAAAGGAAUGAGGAAUUGGAGAUCCAGUGUAUCCAACAUGGAAAAAUGCAUGAGAAAAUGAAGCUAAGAUUGCAGCAGCUUGACAAGCAUUGCCAGACCACUGCCCAACAGUUGGUGGAGCUGCUCAACAAGCAGAACGACCUCUAUAAGGAAAGGCAGGCACUUAAAGAAGAGGUGGACUUCCUGCGGACUCAGUUACCCCAUGAAUCUCAGUUAGUACACUGAACUGAUGAAGCUUAACUUCGAAAUGGCCUUCAUUCAUUGAAAAUGCUGGCAGAUGAAAUAACUGAUGUCAUAGCCCUCUAAAACUGAAAGCAAUCAUGACAAAGACAUCAAAGAAUCCCUUCUGCAAGAAUGACUGAGGUUUUUUUUUUUAAUGGCCAUUGUGUAUCCUAUAUCAAGGUCAAAAUAAGAUAUUUGUGCUGGCCGUCAAACAAUACAGUACAAAGAAAUGUAAAAAUAUUAUCUAUUUCUCAUCACACUUUGGGCAGCAGGACAUUUAGAAAAGCUUCCGUGAAACCUGGGUGUGAAUGGGGGAAAUAAGUUUAAACCACCUAUUGUGAGAUUAGAGUUCACAGCCAGUAGUAUUAAGGUUAAGUCACUUCUGCUGCUGUUUCUUUUUUGAACUUUCAGGUUUUUUAUUUGAGGCUAUUGCACUGCUGAGCGUUGUCAAAAGGACCAAAUUACAAAGAUCCAACAGCACACCAUUCAGUAUGAUACUUUGAUUUCCAUCCAAAUGAUUUCAUGAUAACAAAUACCAUAGAAAAUACCUUACUGUGCUUUAUAAGCCCGCAAUAAAUUGAACCUGCAGUAAAUAUGUGAAUGUAGUCUAAGCUGUAAAUGUUAUGUAUUAUGUAAAUAAUAAAUAAAAUACUAUAAUGUCUUUAUUAAAAUGUACAGUGCUCAGAUCAUACAAUUACUGGACAGGAAUAGCAAAGGCCCAAAAAUGAUUUACAAAUUUUCUUUUGAUGCCCCACUCAGAUUAUAUAUUGGGGAGGCUCUUGUAUGUGGGACUUCCCUCUCUAAAGAGUGAAACUGUUAUCCCACUGCUUAAUCUGUUUUAUUGUGUGUGAAGUGAAUUAAAAUAUUUUUGUAAAAAUGUUGAUCUUGGAUUAAAAAAACCCCUAUUGUUAACAAAUUGACACUUUAAUUUCACAAGCCAUUGGAAUGACACCACAUAUCUUCAUAUAUUUUUAAAUACUGGUUUUAUCAAUUUAAUUUUGCAACUUUGACCUUUUUGAAGAUGGUCCUAUAUCUGAAAUAAAAUUUGUAUUUCAGAAGUAUAUCAUUUUCCUGUCAAUAAUUUCAGUUGGCACACCACAUAUUGAUUUGUUUUUCUGUUAUUCACAUUGUUUAAUACUUUCUCAUUCCUCUUUUACGUUCCCACCCAGCAGCUUCUUGCUCAUCUAGAAUCUUUCAUCUCUUAACUUCCUCCAUCCUUGUGCCUCAUUAAUGCCUUACUAAAAGUAAACAUGUAAUACUCUGGCAAUAUCCUUUUUUCGCUUUCAAAAACACACCUACUUCCUUAAACCAUCUCCGUCUCAAACUUCCAAUUUCACCUUCCAAUUUAGCAAACGUGUCUUACAAACCUUAAACUCCUGCCUCUUGUUUUGUACUCUGAUUUUUCUUAAUUCUAUUUCCUUGUUUUUUAAAUACUACAAGUCUUCUGAUAGUGAAUAGCUUCCACAUAACUAGCACUUCAUAAAUAUUUUAAUAUGGAGUCUUUAACCCUAUCUGAAAAGAGAAAUCAUCAUAUAGGAUAGCAGCAAAUAGUAAUUUUUCAAGAAAGACAUUUAGAUUGACAAUGCACAUGGCAUCAUUUAUCCAUUAUCAUAUGUAUGAUGUGAGGAUGAACACACAUUGUCAAAAUAAAAUCAAGAAUUGUUUUUA